rnacentral:lncRNA from 1 species
UACGAAACACAGGAUGAAUUUUAGCUGUGUCAGGUAAUUGUAAUCUAUAAGCAACAACUCUUAUCUUUAACACCACCUCAAACGCCCCAAAAAAUUUGAGUCCCAGUUUUUUAUUUUUUUUGUAAGGCCAAUGAUUGUCACCUAUCUGGUUGCAACUUGACCAAUGCAAGAUCACCCACCUCCAAUUGAAUGUCUCUCCUUCUUU